ensembl:lncRNA MAGI2-AS3 MAGI2 antisense RNA 3
AGAGAGAGAGGCAGGCUGGGUCCGCCUGGCAGCCUACGGGAGGAGGCGGGAGCCGGGAAGGAGGGGAGCCUAGGCCCGGCGUGGGGAGGCCGGCAGGAAGGGCCUCGAGCCCAGUGCGGACCUUUCUUCAGCCUCUGUGCGACCGAGCCGCGCGCCAGGCUCCUGUGCGAGGAGGACGCGCUGACUCCCUCCGACCUGGGCUCCGAUGGAGCAGAAAUAGCGGGACCUGGACUUGUGGCGCGCCUGGUGCCACAUCUCGGGCUCUGCGAGCGUCCUGGCGCGGGAUCCUGCCUAAUGUCUUACAAUAACAGAAUGCAGGAGAGCACAUAUCAAUGAAGAAAAGACAAAAUGUACUUAUCCAUGAAGCUGAGGUUAAGAAACCAGUGUCUUCAAGAGCCAGGGACAGCACUGGGUCUGUGCAGAGUUGAGAGAUGGUGAUGACAUGUGACAGAGCUCCUUGCUGCUCAAAUUUUAUGCCAGAUAAAAUAUUCACCUUCUCGGACUCCCUGGCACCAGGCAUGGCCAUGUAAUCCUACAGCACAGCUGAUGAAAGAGAAGACAUCUUGCUGCUAUUUGACAAGCAAGAAGAUAAAAGCUUUCCUAUAAAGAUGAUGGAGCAAAAAAAUAGAAGGGGCCUAGACUCCCUACCUUCACACUUCCUGCUAUAAAAGCAUUGCUAUUAUAAGGUUAAUCUGCAGAAACAGACUUCUAUGUCAUAUGCUUAAAUGCAUCAAAAUUCAUACAAUAUCCAUUAAAUUGGUAAAAGUAUCCAUUUUAAAGGAUUAAUCUGAGGGACCCACAGACACUUAACACAAUCAAAUCUCAGAAAAAAAAUCAGUUAUUUCAUUGUGAUUUUGAGGCUGAUCUUUUAUGAUCUUUUAGUUAUCAAACUGUUAAAUACAUUUUAACUUUCAAAUUUUAUGAAUAAAGGAGAUGAAUCCUGUUAUUUUCUC